rnacentral:lncRNA from 1 species
UCAAAUAGACCUUUUUCACAAUGCGAAAAGUCGGGAUUUUACAAUCCGGCAACGCCGCAAUCGGCCAUCUUUGUUCUAAUUAAUUUUUCCCCAUGUAAAUUCCCAUAAGAAAUGGGGGUCCCUGCAAUUUAAAUUCAUUUUCUAUUUAUUGGCGUCUUAAAUCCAAUAUAUUUAUCGUGGAUCGUGUUCCCCGAUGAAUUGGUUGUUUUGAUUCUGUAAUGUCAAAACAGAAAUGUUGUGUGUGUUGGGCUUCGGUAACAGAUACAAUGUUCGUGAAACUGUUAUAACUUUUGCUUCCCAAACGUGGAUGUCAUUGGACAUCUAGAAUAUGUGGUUUCAAAAGUAGGAGACAUGUAUGGCUGAAAAGAACAAAUUUGAGAGAAAAAGAUUUGACAAAAUAAAGCAGAGUUUACAGUCAACAUUUUGCUGAUGUCGUAACUACAGAUGUUGACUGGGCACCAACAUGUAAUCAUGAGAAAAAUUCCAUUGGGAUGGAUACUGUUGAAAGAAUUAGUCGCUCUGUAAGAAGGCAGAUUGUCAGGACAUGUUCAAAGAUGAUACACAUUCCACAAGUUGCAGUUACUGAUGUCAUGAAAGAUAAAGCACCCAACGCAUUACAUCUUUGAUGAACAGAUCAACACAUUAGUGAAUCAACCAACGAUCAGCAUCCAUCUACCUGCAACUUAGCUCUUGAAUUAGAAAACCAGGCAUUGGUUCUUCGAAUAAAAGUAUUGGAAAAUAAAAAGAAACAAAAAAACAAACAAUUACAAGUUGAAGCAGUGUCACGUUUUCAGCAUCUUUAUUAAACAUUUUUUUCUUCUUGUUUAAUACAAUGUUUCACUCGAAAAAAGAACCGUGAGUUUUCUUAAAAUGGUAACGAAAUAACGAUAAUGAAUCAGGUAAUCAUGGUGAACGCUUCGUCAGAUUGAGAUUAUGGAACUAAAUGUUAAAGUAGUUGAAUUAGUACAUUUAAAACUAGUUGACCCUAAAUACUUCUGAGGGAAUUUUUCAGUCCCUCUUUCCGAUUAAAGUUAACAAUAAGGACAAAACAACAAUGUGCAAAUCAAUUAAAAAGUUCGAAACAGUAAACCCAGUUUCCUCUGUUGUUGAUGCCCUGCCAGAAACUGAACCAAAACAAACAAGUUUAAGUGCUGAUAUUAUAAUAAGUAUUUAAUGUUAACAUAUAAACAUACAUAUGAAAAUGUUACCAAUUCAUCGGGGAACACGAUCCACGAUAAAUAUAUUGGAUUUAAGACAUCAAUAAAUAGAAAAUGAAUUUAAAUUGCAGGGACCCCCAUUUCUUAUGGGAAUUUACAUGGGGAAAAA